UCUUUGACUAGUCAAAACUUCUCUCUCUUAUCUCUUCUUCUCUCUCCUCUCUCUUCUCCCUCAUCCCACGUGAUCUUCUUCUUCUUCGUUCUUCUUUGUGCGAACGAGACCAAAACCAGCAAAGAAGAAAAUUAGCUCGCCGAAGCUCAUCACCGCUGCACCGGAGCCGGACCACCACCCGCGCAACACUCGCCCGCGCACGCCGCGUGCUCCGCCACCGCCCCUUCACGUGUGCCGUCCUCGCCGUGCACCAUUCAGCCUCUACUCAGCCCGUGUUCCGCCCCGUCCGGCCACCUCCGGCCACUGUGGGCCACCGCUCGGCCUCGCCAAGCCACCACCCGCUCUCCCGACCUCUUGCCGCCCCCAACCCUCUCUCUUUCUUGCUGUUUUGCGGCCGAACCAGCAAACCCGCGAGUGGGUUUCCAGCCGGUUCGUGGGCCGUUUUGGGCCGUUUCCAGGCCCCGGAUGCGCAAGUCGCUUUGGGAAGUUUCGUUCCUCGCGUCGCCCCCGUCGGAUUGAUCCGAUUUGCGUGCGAUUUGGUGAGUAAUCUCACUAAUCUUGGAUUAGUUGGCUAAUUAUGCUUAAGGUUGGUUUAGUUUUAAUUAAUUGUGUUUAGGUUGUUAGAUUAGAAUAAAUUAGCAAUUAUUAGUCAAUUGUGAUGCGAUUUAGAUAAAUUGAUUGUGCAAUUAGUAAGUAGACGUGGUCUACUAAUUAUUGGAAGUGCCUCGGGAUUUUUCCUGACCCUUAGUGGGCUUCAAUUAGGCUUUUCGGGCCUAAGUGGAUUUUUUUAGUAUUUAAAUAUUAAUUUUCGGAAUUAAAUUAAAUAAUUAUUUAUUUUUCGAAAAUUUAACUGAGUUGAUUCGGAACUGGAAUUUUAUGCUGAUGACUGUGGUGAAGUCUAUUUAUUUAACUGAGCACCAAUUUGAGCUAAAUUGGAAUUAUUAUAAUUAAUUUUUAAUUCUCGAAAUUAAUUAAUUAUUUAUUUAUUUUUCGAAAAUUCAAUUGAGAUGGCCCGUGACCGGAAUAUUAUGCUGAUGAUGGUGGUGAAGUCCGUUUAUUUAAUUGGGCCUUAUUUUGAGCUAAACGAAACUUUUAAUAUUUAAUAAUUAAUUUUCGAAAUUAAUUAAUUAAUUAUUUAUUUUUCGGAAAUUAAGUUUGAGAUGGCCGACGACUGAAAUCUCGUGUUGAUCGUCGUGGCACAGUCCGUUUAUUUAAUUGAGCUUUAAUUUGUGCUGAAUUGAUUUAAUUGUGGAUAAUUACUUUAGAAAUGGGAUGAAUCAUCAUGAAAGGCACGUGGCUCGGUGAAUAGUACGUCAUCUCGGAGAAUGCACGUGGCUCAGUGAUUUGGUAUAUCACUUCGGAGAAUGCACGUGGCUCGAUGAUUAGUACGUCACCUUGAAGAAUGCACGGAGCUUGAUGAUUAGAUAUUUCACCUCGGAGAAUGCACAUGGCUCGGUGACGAAGUAUGUCGCCUUGGAGAAUGCAUGUGGCUCGGUGAUUAAGUGUGGCAUCCUAAAAGAGACACGUGGGCUCGGUAAUUUGAUGCAUUACCUCGGAGAAUGCACGUGGUCUCAAAGAGUACAUUUGGCAUCUAAAAGGACACGUGGGCUCGGUAAUUUGAUGCAUUACCUCGGAGAAUGCACGUGGUCCCAAUGAGUACAUUUGGCAUCUUGAAGAGACACGUGGGCUCGGUGACUUGAUGCAUCGCCUCGGAGAAUGCACGUGGGCUCGCUGAUUCAAAAUGGCAUUUUAAAGGGCACGUGGGCUCGGUAAAUUAAUGCAUUACCUCGGAGAAUGCACGUGACUCGGUAAUUGGUUUUAUCAAUUGAGACUGUAUAGCAAUAGCUUGAAUGACCGGGAAAUGGUCAGACUGAUAUGUAAUCGACUAGGUCGAUUGAUCAUUGAUUUGAUUUGAUGUCGUGGAUUGAUUGACCGAUUAGAAAUGACCGUGAGAGGUCUUGUUGGCAUAUAAUCGACUAUGUCAAUUUGAUCGAUGCUUCGAUCUGUGUUAUGAUUGCUUGGGUGCCUAUUAUGAAUUGUACUGACUUGCAAGUGGGAUCUAAGACCAAGGUAAGUCCUCUGCUCUGUGCGUGUUUAAGCAGCCUGUAGUAUAAUGGUUUACUAAUCGGGCUUAGUGGGUAGAACUCGCUAAGACGUAGUCUCAUCCCAGUUUGGGGAAAAACAUUUCAGGAUUCCGUUGAGGAGUUGAGGAGGAGGAGUCUGAGAAGGAGAACUCGAAGGCGAACUUGAGGAAAAUGAUUUUUGGAAGAAGAAGAUAAUUCCGAAGGGGGUCUUGAGUACGACCCAGAUGGACUGAGAGUCUAUCUUCUUUUGAGAAUUCCUUUUGAAGUGAAUAGUUAUGAAGUGGUUUGUGUUUUGUAUAAAAGUUUGGCUAUAAGUUUCAAUAUGAAAAAUAUGGCCCUGCUUUUCUAUCCCAUCGUUUCAUUGUCUGGGGAUUUUAACUGCUUCCACAUGUGCUUAAUAAACGAAAGGGUCGGCGAUACUUUGUCCUGGGAUAUCGCAUUAUAAAAUCGACCAAGUGAGAAGGAUGGGUGCGUGCCCGAGGAUCAGGGCGUGACACAGGCUGCCAAAUCUGGCCGUUCAACCGCGAGAUAUGGCUAUCCAACGGUUGGCUGGCGGUUGGCCGACAACCAACCCAUACCGGAUUUAAUUUUCGAAGUAAAAAAAUUAAAAAAAAAUAGCAAAAGCCGUUAUAAAUGUGAGUUUUACCAAAUGGUAUUUAUGUUAAAACUAUUUUCUAAUGCUAUUUGAGGUUAAAAUUUACCAAACGGUAUAGUAUUUUGGAAAACCCCUUUACUUCAAAGAUAUUUGCAAUUUCCUAAAGUCAUUUCCCCAAAAUCGAAUCAAAUGGGCCCUAAGUAUCUCAACUUUUCAAAUGUGAAUCAUUAGAGAUGUCCCUUAAAUCAAGGAUGGAUAUUGUCAACGUGGACGCUAAUGCCGCUAAAUAGUCAUUAAUCAUCAAUAUUGGCAUUCGAUGUAGUCUUUUGAGAUGAUCCGCUAUCAAUAGAUACAUAUUUGGACGGCUUAAAUUGUCUCACGACACACACUCUCUCUCUCCCCUUAUCGCUCAAUUAUCAAAAGGAGAAACCAUAUGCAAGCCCCGUCGCUACUGUUGCCUAAUGUUUACCGAGUAAACGAGUCACGCCAGCAAAAUCACAUGACAUGUGAAUUUAUUUAAAGGAGGCCUCUCACUGAACCAAAAUUAAAAGGUUGAGGUACUUGAUUGAAGACAGGCGACUUUAGAUCGAGCAAAAAUUUAAACAUUUUGCCUCAUCAUUAUUUUAAAAAUUGAAAAAAGUGGAUACUAAAAAAUUGUAUGGACAAUCCAAAGGACUUAUGAGAAUAUUUUUCUUUUAUUGCUAAACGCAUAAGAAACUCAUAAAACGUGCAUUUAUAAUCGUUUGAACUAUUAUCUUCAUCUCUGUAUAAUUUUGCGAGUCGUCUCUUUCGCAAAGUGGCGAAUGUAACCAUUUUAUGUUAUUUUCAGUCUAUUUCUCAUUAAUUAUUUCACUGCUUGGUUCAAAAUAUUAGAAAUAGUUACUCCCUGUUCCUUUCGCCUUAACAGCAACAAAGAUUCCCAUGCAGUAGCUCAUUUUCGGUGGCUGCUUAUUCUGCUAAGACACUUCAUUUCGUUCCUAAGAAUAAAAUUCUGAUUGCAACUCGAAAACCCUCUUCAAACGACGCUAUUUGACAUGAUCUACUGUAAAUAAAUAUUUUGAGUACUGUACAACAUUAUAAAGUGGUGAACGAAAAAGGCGAGUACAGCAGCUUUUCGAUAAUGACCUCUAUUACGGUGAUUUUCACGUACAUCGCACUUAAAUAGACAUCAGUUCCAAGCAAAAUAAAAACAGACAGCAUUAAGGCACUACAUUUUACAUACGCAUCUAGACGAGACGAGACCUUCGGGUCAAUUAUAUGUUGAAACUUGGCAUCUUCGAGGGGAGUUUGGGAUGCUUUGCCUUCAAGUUCAAAACAGCCAUUGCCUCUUCAGUCGAAGGCCGGGACCCAGCAUCAGGUUGAGUACACCACAGCCCCACAAUCAAUAAGGCCUCCGCCUGUUUCUUGACGAAAUCUUUGCGGAGCCUCUCGUCCACCACAAGGAGAAAAUUCCUGCGCCAGCUCCAACUCCAGCGCCCAUAAUGCUUCCAUACCCACUCUACAAGGUUUUGUAGGUCUCCAUGGAGGGAAAAGACGGCUCUUCUCCCACAUACUAUUUCCAAAAGAACCACUCCAAAGCUGUAAAUAUCAGAUUGUUUACUUGCCUUACCUGUUCUAUGGUAUUCUGGAGCCGCGUAACCCAGUGUUCCCAUCUUUUCAGUUGUUUUUUGUCCUCUGGCAUGGUCGACUAACCUAGCCAAGCCAAAAUCUCCCAAUUUGGCCACGAACUUUUCAGUGAGCAUGAUGUUGCUGGACUUGAUAUCUCUGUGGAUCACGCAUUCAUGAUCAUGAUAUUCUUCGUGUAGGUAGUGCAGCGCCGAGGCUAAUCCCCGAGCAAUUUCGUACCUCUUUCCCCAUUCCAAAAAUUUUUCCGGUUUAAAAAGAUGAUCCUCCAAGCUACCUCCUCCAAUGAAUUCGUAAACCAGAGCGAAUCUAUUAGCCUCGUGACAAUAGCCUUCAAGUUGCACCAAGUUUUUGUGCCUAAGUUGGCUUAAUGACUUCACCUCGGACAUAUACUCCUUUAUCCCUUGGUGCGAAUUGGGGUUCAUCAUCUUUAUAGCGACCGGUGUGGAAGCAUCUCCUACGUGCCCUUUGUACACUAUCCCGAAACCUCCUCUCCCCAGAAUCCUAUCAUUUGCAAAGGAAUUGGUCGCAAUCAUCAACUCUUCAUUGGAGUAUUCCUUUAGUCCACUGAUCUUUGCAAACUCUUCGGUUAAUUUCAAGCCAAAAUCGCCUACUUCUCCACCUCUCCGGUAAAGAAGGAAAACUAUCAAGUCACGAAGAUCUGAAGCGAAACAGAUCACUAGCAAUCCUGGGGCAAUAUAUUUGAAUUCGGAAAUCAAUUCCAAGAAGGACAGAGGCCCAGAGAUAUCCUCAUAAGGAGGAAGAUGAGAGGUGUAAUGGUAAUUCACGAAUGCAACUGCAACGACAGCUAGUGCUGCAGCAGCCGAAACGACUCUGGCAAACAUGAAUACAUCAACAGUCAGCAACGAAUUCUAAUGCUACCCUCAGUAGAAUGUCUCGUGAGAAACCAAAUAUAUUGUCUCAAACAAGAGGAAAGUUUAAAUGGCAUUGAUGGCACCACAGAGAGAAACUUCAUCCAUGUUUAAUUGUCUAUUAUCACCCACAAGGUCAAAUGUUAGCUUCAGAAACGUGUGAAAGUAUGGAAACUCGAUGACCAAAUCACACAUAGAGAGGCCAAAUGGUUUAGACACUCUAAAAAUUUGGUGUCGGUAGUCCAUGUAGUAAUGGUAGGAUUAAGUGUCCGUUAUCAGCUUCUCUCAAAAAGUUUGAUCCUCUAAAAAGAACCGACAACUUCCAUGGCGAGACCUCGCUUCAUUGGCUGCAAUCAUAUAGAUUACCUUAUGACUAUUGGUGUCAUAAAGACCACAACAGAGCAACCUCGACUUUCUAGACAUGCCAAUUACCCCUAAACUAAGGGCCCUUGUCGACCUUGUUCAAGUCCAUCGAUUUUUAAGUAUAAAUAUAUAAAGUGCACAAGCAGGAGUCAAAAGAGGCUAAGAAAACAAGAGUCUGAGUGAUUCAAGGGGACAAGAAUAGAGAGAGUACCUUAGAGAGAAUUUGAAUGGCAGGAGUAGAUCCAUGGCGUCAAAGAAGGCCUGGAGAAUCUGAAAGAGUAGGUGAAGAAUUAAGCGUCGAGCUUGCGCAGCACCAAGAGCACGAACCGCACGAGCCGCACCGAGAUCAGCGACGCAUCGGCGUUGAGGUAAAGUCAACGGCAAUGUCCAAGGGGACUGUAGUCAGCCAGGAAGCUUAAAGUUUAAGAGUGAGAUGAAGAGAGAGAGAGAGACACGGCAAGGCUGAUCAGAGAAGUGAGUGAACAAGAACUUAUUUAGGGUUAAGGGUGAAGCAUUGGGUCCCGCUUCUAUCCUGGGACCGGCUUUGGAAUUGACAAUGGGUAACCAGACCGGUCCCGUUGUGAGCCGGUCUUGAACCGGCGGAGCAAAGCUGGUUUGGGUCUUCCCCGGGUUGCUCACCCCCAGUUCUCUGUUGAGAGUUGAUGCUAAACAUAAAUCAGUCAGCAAAAUCCACCGGUUUCCCGUAGUCUCAUCCCAAAGAUACACUUUCCAGGAGUACGUAGCUCUGCCACUGAUGUCAUUGAGGCUCCAGUUCGGGUGGCUUGGGCUGAGAUAUAGGUAAGCAGACAGUACAUGCAUUCCCCCGAAUGUCUAAGAGCUUGAGGCUCUCAGAGCCAAAUAAUGGGAAAUUGAAAGAUGUGUUGUCAAAGAGCACAGCGAAGCUGAAAAGGGUUUGAGCAGAGAGACCAUCAAGACCAGUACUUAUGGGGAUGUGGGUGCUUGUGGCUGAUCUUUUUGUCUUCCAAAGCUUUCCAUGUUGGGUGUUCUUGAUUUUUGCAGAUCUGGUCACUGCCUGUGAACUCAAAGCGCCGUGUGGGCGGGUUAACAUCUUCAUUAUUCUCACCGCUCGGCUUUGAUAAAACUGAAAAACUGGUUCAGGCACCAAAUUCCAGUGGCCAAAGUGACAACCCCCGCAGUGGGGUGCGAUUGGAAACACAAAUAGACUCGACGAAUUGCGUGCUGCUAAGAAAGACGAUAAAAUGUGGUUGGUUGAUGGCCGACUGUAAUGUCCAGUUCACACUUCUGGGCGGUGGAUAAAAAACUAAUUAAGGACAUUAUCACACGAAACGACGUGGAUUUUUGUCCCAAGAUGUCCCACUAUUAUAAAUAUAAUGAUAUGUCAGACGCAUGUACUUAGAUUAGUAAUAUUAUAAUGAGUCGAGUCUCCCUAUUGUCUUAUUUAUUGAUGUGAAAACAAAUUAAAUACUGAAGUAUUGAGUUCUGCUGUAGUGUUUUCGUUUUAUCAGUUUAAAGGCAAUGGCCCUGUCUUCCAGGGAGAACCUGUCAGAUGGGUGAAUUGGCAGAAUUCUACCGUGGUGCCAUAAAACACGAAGUAAUUUUUUUUUUCCAUAUUAAUAAGUUUCCCGUGAUAUCCCUAAAAUGGGAUAUCAUCUUAUUUGAGUUACUAACGUAGGUUACGAAUACUAAUUGUGGAGAAAAAUUGGUAAGCGCUCUAAUUGAGGUUGGUAACUAUUGCGACCUAACCUCAGGUGGAACCGUAUGAGGAUUGGACUAGUAGAUUACUAAGUCUAAACUUAGUUCGAGCUCUUCCAAGUCCAUAUAAAUUCGCAACUUAACUUCAAGUUCUUUGCAUUUAAACGAUUUUAUCUAGGAGUUGUCAUUAAUUGAUUUAUGGUGUCACUAAUCAAUUUAUGGUGUGAGUUUAAAAACCCAAAGUAAAGCAUCAAAAGAAAUACCUUACUUCUAUAAGCUAGAGAUUAAAUGAGUUUGAAACUUAACUACGCUAAAUUACUCAAACACGGCCUUUUCUCUUUUAUUAUCAAAAAUAUUUUGCAGACAAUUUGAUUUGAUUUUAAUCUGUCCUCUAACAGGCAAGGUGAUUGUGCAGAGUGCAAUCAUUAUUGAACACUCAAGGUAAUAGAUAAAUUACAAACAGAAAUACUUACAUUGAUACAACACAAUCUGCAGGGUUAGUCAGAAAAUCAUAUUUAUCAAUCUAAAUAUGAUUUCUAAUUAAGUCGUAAUUCCACUCAAAUAUCUUUUUGGGUUUCUCUUAUUUAAAUGAAAAGUAAACUAUAUGUCAUGCACUUUAAUUAAAUGGCCUAAUUCUAAUGACAAACAAUUUAUAAUUAAAUGGACCUAGUAACAAUUACUAAAUUACAUGCAUUUUAUGAACCUAAUUUUAUAUGACAUGUAAAUGAUAUUUUUGGUUUUUUUUAUGAAAAUUCGUAAUUAAAAAUUGAUAAAAAUAAAAAUCUACCUAACCUGAGAUAUUAUUUAUUUUAAGUGAGGGACUAACCUAAUCCUAUAUUAACUUAGAAACUUACCUCAACAAGCAAUUCAAUUGGAAGAUAUUAUCUAACAUGCGUCCUAAUUUAAUUAAGAAAAAAUAUUUAAACUAUUAUUUCUAGAAAAUCAAUUCUAAACCUCACAAUAUGCAAUGCAAUGCAAUAUUUUUGUAUUUUGGCUUGAUGUUCGCAAGUGCGGCUCGCAAGGAUGGCUCGAGGUUUUGCUUGGUACGGUGAGGCUCGCGGCAAGGUUACUCGUGGACAAUGAAGCUCACGGUGCGGUAACUCUCCCUUAUGAAAUCCUCAACUAGGGAUAAUUCGCACGCUCGAUGGAAGUCAACAAAUCUGCAGGAAAGAUGAAACGUGGAUUGGACUAGCACUAGAUUUGCUAGGCCUGGUGGUGACCGAGAACCCUCUAAGACUACACGAGGACACAAGUGAAUUUGUUGGACGUUGCUGAAGUUCACACGAAGUCGCUGUUCUUCGCUUUUCAACACUGCAAGAGUUAUAGCACAGAAGCUCGGGUGCAGUGGGGUGGCGCUUGAUGGCUUCGGAGCACAGCAAAAUUGUCGAUAUUCACUCGAGCCAUAGCAAGAUGGGGCUAUAAGAGUUUUCUUGAUAUGGAUUAUAUUAAUUGAAAUUGUAAUUUACUGUUUUACGGGAUUAGUCUAAUAAGAUAAGACAACGAUUUUUUAAUAAUUGAAUAUGGGUCUAACUUAUAUGGGCUGAGUUAGGCUUGGCCCGUGAUGCAACGGCCCGUCCAAAACUCUAUAAAAAGCGCUAAAGUCCCACCUCUGACCAUCAUUCUUCCACGAACAUUCUCUCACCUCACAUAAGGAAGCCGUGAGGGGCAGUCUCAUCACGCCAAGAUCUGAGGGCCAAAGAAGAGAAGAACCUGAGUGUCACCCCGUCAUUUAAGCUUCGGAUUGUUGUCAUUCCGCAUAAAGAAUGAUGAAUUCUAAAUCAGGUACGCAAAUCUCCGUCUUCUCCUCCAAUAUGUUUGAGUUUCUAGCUAUAUUGAUCCUAAGAUGCCGCUUUGAUAGCUAACAUUUGGUAUCAAAGCCUUGUAGACUAGAACUCGAACUGUUGCAUUUGGCCUGUUUUCGAAAAUUUUGUCCAUUGAAACUUGGUUUUGAAAACAUAUUUGGAUUCAUCUUGUCAAACCAAGCGAUUCGGUGGGUGGCAUGCCUCCAGUGGAGGCCAAAUGCGUCGACGAUGAGCAUUUCGGAUUUGACCUACCUUUGGAACAUUUUGCCUAUUUUCGUGAUUUUUUGUCCAAUAAAAGUACAUUUUAAUCAUAUAUGUGGGUCCUACUCAUCGAAACGAGCAUUUUGGUGGGUCGCUGGCCUCUGAGGGAGGUCGAGCGCCCCCGCAUGCUCCCACACACCGUGCCACAGCUUGGCGGUGAGUGCGCUCAUGCACUUACACGUACGAGCGCGUGACCAUUUAAGGAGGUGGAUGACGUCACCCACCGACUUGCGGCACCACCAUAGGAUGCUGACGUCAUGGAGGACAUCAAUGGGUGGUAAUGACAUCACCAAUGACGUCAUUUCCCAGCUGGUCGACCUAACCCGGGUUGACCGGCGUUGACCAGUUUGAGACGACCCGAAUUGACUGAACCCAAGUUGAUCAGUCAACCCGACUCCGAUUGACCAUUGACUGGUCAAACCGCCGGCCGGUCAAGCCAGUCUCAGGCCGGCUCAAAAGGACGAGCGUGUGAGGGCGCGUGUGACAUUGGAUUGACGCGUGGUUGGUACAGGCGUGCUUGUAUGAGAAUUUUCUACAUUAUGAUGUAUUUAUUUUAUAUAUUUGAUGAUUUUAUGAAUGCGAAAAUAUAUGUAAAACCCUAAAAUACAAGAUUUUUGGGGUAUUUUUACAUAUUUUUCACGUAUUUCUCUAUGAUUUUGGAAAUACAUUACAAGCUCACAUGUAUAUGAUCACAUAAAGAUUGUGUAGAGUAUUGAUUCGUUAAUAACAUGUAUAAAGUUCAGCAUAUAUUAAUGAAUAGAAUAAUGUGAUUAGCAUGACGUGUGAUUUUAGUGACAAAUUGCCCAUGUCAUCAAGUCUAAAAUCACAUGUAUAAAGUCAAUGUAAGUCAUAAAAUUUAUAUCCAUGAUAUGAGAGAGUUUCAAUGAUUCAAUUGGGUUGUGACCGCCAAAGUGGCACACUUGAUUGGAUUUGAAAAAUAUUGAUCUCAUAUUGUGAUGGGAUGUCACAUAUUCUAAUGCGUGGUCAUAUUCUCAAAAGAAGUGAUUAUGUAUUAAUUCAUGGAGAAAUACAUGUACAGCAUAUAGUUAAGGAGUGACUAAUUCUAGUGGUUCAUACACCUAAAAGUGGUGAAUUCACAAGAUGUUAGAAUAUAUUCUCGUAAUCGUUGUCAUGUGAUGAGUAUACAAUUACAUGUCAUGUAUUCUGUCAAAAGAUGUUUAUAUGAUGAUGCAUGUAGUUCUCGAAAUAUGUACUUAUAAGGUUUUCAAGUUACACAGUACUCACAUUAUACUAAUUGCAUAUGUUGUUUGUUAUUAAGUCACAUUCUCUGUAAUGGUAACUUCGUUGUGAUUAAGGUUCUUACUGGGUCAAAUUUUUAGUAAAAGAAGAAUUUUCAGUUUGAGAUGAAGCUACUAGAUGUUCAUAUUACUCUUACAAGAAUAAGUUGGCAAUCUCACCAUUAAUGAUAUGGAACUAGAAAGUAUUUUUUGCUACUUAGGAAAAUGGCAAUUGAAUUUGUCCGUUAACCAUGAGGAGUUCCAUUAGGAACACUUGAAAAUGGUUUACUAGUUAACUACAUUGCUAAAAUGAUGAUAAAACCCUUGGUAGCUUGAAAUUGUAUCUUGUUUAAUGCCGAGAUUGGAAUAAAUGUAAUGAUUUUUCAACAUAAGGUUUGAUGAUUCUGAUGAGGUUAAGGACUAUGUCCUAAGGAUGGUAGAUUUGAAGUCCAAAAUCAUACUCAUAAAGGAACUUAUGAAACCACCAAUUAUUCUAACAAUUUGGUCUCAGGAUAGCACUAUUUAAGAGAAAUGGUAUCAUUUACUACUUUUGUGGGAAGAAAUAACACAUAAGAAAUAGAGUAAUGAAUAUAAAGCUUGGUUGUCAAAGCGUGAGUCUAGAGUUAAUGAUUCAUUGGCAUUCGUUUAUGAAUUCAAUUCCUAUCGAAAGUCUCAUCCGGUUCUUAGUGGCUAGAUAACAGUGCAACAAAUUGCGUUGUUUACCAUAAGGGGAUUCAUAAAUCUAAGAAAGCCAAAUCAGGAUUAAUCAUAAUUCAUCAUGAAAAACAAUAUUUAACAUCUAUUAAGUGGGAGAUGUUGUUUUAACUCUAUAUUCUAAAUUAUGGUUUCCAUUUGAUAUUGAGAAACACUUUUAUGUACCUUCCUUUAGACGGAACUUAGUUUUCGUAUCAUGUCUGAAAGUGUGUUGUUAUUCUUUUGAAGUAAAGAACAAUCUCAUAUCUAUGUUUUCCAAGUCGAAUAAAGUUGGGUGCUAUAAUAUAUCAAAUGGAUUACUGCCAAUAAGGUUUUGAGAUACCAAAAGGGACAAGAAAACUAUAUGUUGACAAACAUGUUCAAGAUCUAAAACUAGUAGAGUAUUAGAAUGCAUAUUUUACUAGCUGUAAAUAUGACAAGAAGUUGACAACAUAAUAUAUAUUUAUAUUAGCAAAAAGUGUAGUAUUAUAACAAAAUGGUAAACAUAAAUCUAUGUUAUCCUCUACCGUAUAAACAGAGUCUGUAGCAUACUUUUCAACUGUUACUCAAGAUAUUUGACUUUGAAACCUUAUUAAGGAAUUGACCACAUUUAAUAUUAUGAAUAGACCCAUAUGGUUGUAUCAAGACAAUAACUCUUCAAUGUUGUUUAUGAACAACAAUAAAGGUCUCAAAGGGUCUAAAUAUGUGGCGGUCAAGUUUUUGACCAUAAAGAAACGAUAUUGAUAGUGACACUAUAGUAAAGCAUAUUUCCACAAAUGAUGUGAUUGUAGACCCACUAACUAAAGACUUCCACCCUUGUGUACUUAAAUGACAUGUUAUAAAUAUGGGUUGAGAAGCAUCAUUGGAUGUUGUUGUUUAGUGGAAGCCAUUUUGAUUUUGCUCUAAUAAAACUUAUAUAUGUAUUACACAUUCAAUAAAGUAUUCAUGAAUGUGUGGUCACCUUAUUGAGUUGAUUAUAUGUAAUGAAAAUCUCAAGGUAUUGUGUAAGUCUUAAGUGAAGGCUCGGGCAUCUGGUUAUCAACCUUGAGCAUAUAUCUUGAUUACACAUAAAGAAAUGUUAACUAUAAAGAUAAAACAUAUGUGGAUUCAUUAUAACUAUAAGGAUAUUUUCUAAUGGAACAUCCAAUUUUCAGUGACACUUAAGGUAAGAGAAUAGUAUCCGACAAAGAAAUAACACAUAAAGUAUUACUCUUUAUGAGGUGUUAUCUAUUAUUGAAUCAAUAUCGGUAAAGUUGAAAACACACGUGACUAUGAAAGGUUCUAUGUGAGUACAUGCAGUUACGACCAUGAUUCGGUGUUUGAAACUUUAUGGGAUACGAUUGACUAUUAAGAAUUAUCACUAGAUCAACAUAGAUGUGCGCACAUGCAAUACAGUCUCAAUUAACAUAAUCAAAGUAGGAAAAUGUAAGAGUUUUUCUAAUGUGAGAUACAUUAAUUGGGAUUAUAAUUUACUGUUUUACGGGAUUGGUCUAAUAAGGUAAAACAUAAAGUUUUCUUAAUAAUCGAAUAUAGGCCUGACUUGUAUGAGCCGAGUCCAUUCAAAACUCUAUAAAUAAUGCUAAGAUCCAUCCUCUAAUUCUCAUUCUUCCACGAACAUUCUCUCACCUCACAUAAGGAAGCCGUGAGGAGCAAUCUCAUCACAUCAGGAUCCAAGAGCCAUAAAGGAGAAAAACUUGAGCGUCGACUCGUCAUCUAAGCAUCGGAUUGUCGUCGUUCUCCAUAAAGAACAAUGGAUUCCAAAUUAGGCACACAAAUCUCCGUCUUCUUCUCCAAUAUGUUCGAGUUUCUAUCUAUGUUGAUCCUGGGAUGCCACUUCAACGGCCAACAGAGGCAGCAGCUUAGCGUUGGGCUUAAACAGCAGGGAGCGGUCAGCGUCGUCAAGUGUGACAGGUGGCAUAGCAGUGGGUCGUCUCAGGUCAGUGCAACAAGAAGUUUGCGACACGAGCAGUGCCAUCGGCCUUGGCAGCACAGGGGCAGAUGAAGGCAACAGCUCCUUAUUGUGGUUCGGCUUGGGCAGUGGCAACGCAGUGUCAACGGCAAUGACGAGUAGCGAGCGGGCGUUGUCAGGUGCCGCAGCAUGGCAAGAUAGCAGGGCUCGGCUCACGUCGAUAGAGGGCAUGGCGACGGUGACGCAGCAGGAGAGGCGUCUUGGCUAAGGCUUAGUCGAGCUCUCUCUCUCUCUGGUCUUUUCUUCUCCUCUCGUUCAGCUCGUGUGCCCUCCUCUCUGACCUCCCUCUACUCACCACGUGUUUCCUCUCAAUGGCCGUGUAUUCUAUUGUGUGUGGCCUCCCUUACGAUAGUCUCUUCCUUCUUAUUUCCUUCUUAUUUAUAUGUGUCAAUCCUGUUUGAAAAAGCAAGAGAAUAUCUUGGGCUGCCGGCCAUCUACUGCUUGAUAUUCUCACUGUUGUGCUCAACCCCUCUUAGUACGUAAAUCUCCCACUUCCCUUUUAUUCAUAUUUUUCCUUUUUAAUUUCGCACGAGCCUCCACACUGGAUGAGUCAUUUCCAUGUUGCUGAAAUAUUUUCCUCGAACAAUGGGAAAAUCCCAUUCAAGUCGCUUUUUUUCCCCUCCACCGCCACACACGUGCACCAAUCUCCUUUCUUGAUUUUCCCUCACUUUGUUUCCUUCUUUGAAUUCUCCUUUUUAUUUUUAGUCGAUCUUCUAAAUCCCCUCUCGCCGAAUCCGCUCACUAUCCUUCUGUUGCCAAAGAUCACACGUAUUCGGCCCAUGUUUCCUCUUUGCCGUGUCUUUCUUGACUUCAAAAUUUUCCAAUUUUGAUUACCCAUGCGCGGCAUAUGCAAUUUUCAGCCACGUAAGGUAUUUAAUAGGCUUGAAUUUCAUGCUUUUGUAGGCUCAGUCUAACUCUUCACCUUACCUUACUGACCUUAUUGAGCUCAUGGCCAUUUAUCACCCGUCACUAAUCCAACGCAAUUAAUGAAACUAAAUAAUAAAUACUCCUAAAAUUAAAUGCUAUGCAAAUUAAUUAUAAUAUUUAUGUUUAGGAGUUAAAAAUUAAUCUCUAAUUUCUAUAUAAUGAAUAAUCAUAUCGUCAAAAUUUAGGUGUCAAUAGUAACUUUUUAAAUAAUUGGUAAUCUAAUGGGUUGACAAGCAAGGCAAACAAAAUUGGUAAAUUUCUUUAUAAAAAAAGGACUGAUAAAUAACUAAAACGAUAAAUGAUAAGCUAAAACUAGUUGGUAACCUAAUAGGAAAAAGCUAGUAAGUUGUACAAAUAAAAGUUGCUCAGUUCAUAUAGAAGUUGAUAAAUUUAACACUUAUAUAAGAAUUGGUAAGAUACUCACAUAAAGAUUGGGCAAUUCAUACAAGAUUGGUAAAAUGAUAGUGUUGAUGCAAAAUGAAAUUAGAAGCUAGUAAAAGAUAAUAAAAAACAUAGUGAGUAGUAUACAAAAUAUUUAUAAUAAAAAAAAAGUUAAUAUCUGAAAAACCCUAAAUUGAUACAUUUAUGACAAAUUUAUUCUAAACUAAUUUUUUUAUCACAAAAAAACCUUAGACUGAUACACAUUUGACAAAUUUGUCCAAAAAUAUUACACUUAUGAUAAAUUUAUCUUCUAUUAGUUUUUAUUUAAUUUUACUGUCAAAAUGCUAAGUUGAAUAAUAUAUUAUAGUUAACAGAUGUAUUGAUUUGAGAUUUAUCAGUUUUAUGAUUUUUUUGUGGUAUUAAUCCAAUUUAACGGCAGGUAUAUUAAUCCAGUUUAGGGUUUUUUAAGAUCAAAAAAUUAAUUUGGGGUAGAUUUACCACAGAUGUACCAAUUUAGAAUUUUUUUAAGGUCAUUUAGGAUAAUUUUUUCAUAAAUAUAUCAGUUUAAAGUUUUUCAUAGUAACAAAAUUAUAUAGUGAAGUUUAGCAUUUUUCAGGAUAUUAAACCAAAAAAAAAAAGUUAGUAAUUUCAAAAUAGUCUUGGGAAGUUACUAAAAAUUUAUCGUAAAUCAAGUGAAUGGUAAAUUUUUUUUACUAAUAAUUUUUUACACCUACCAACUGAAAGGUUUUUAUCUACAAAAUUAUCGUCCAAAACAUGCUAUAGUGAAGGAAAUUGAUUCAGUUCAUAUUUCAAUUGAUAUAAUAAAGUUUCUAAAGGAGGCUGUAAAGCCCCAUUCACAGAUCCAAGCUCAUUUAGCUUUCAUAAUCUCAAUAAUGAGACAAAUUCAUUUCUUUUUCAUAAGGGGACAAAAGUUUGAUUUAUACUGUUAUGAAACCCCGAAAUAAAUGGUUGACAUGGUUUUGCAUAUUUCUCAAAAUUGGGGCAAGUCAUGCUGAUUUACCCUGCAUUCCUCCAAUUAUUAAUCAAUUGCAGAAAUAACUGCCAAAUAACAGUGUACAUAUUUCAGUGAUUCCUGAAUCCAUGGAUGAUAACACAAAACUCAGUUCUAGCUGGUGUGAAAAAAGAAGAGUGGAUGAGCAGAAACAAAGUUAAAAUGGCAUCGAUAAUGUUGUUAGUGAUCAAAACAGUAAACAAGAAAAUAGAAAACCAAAAGCUAUAUUUUUCAUAUGAGGAAGAAAAGUGCAGAGAAACAGAACACAAACUUGCAUACGUCUGUUCUAAAGGAAACUAUCAAGUACAGGACAACUUAAACAAAGCAAAAACUGCUCACGUACGUGCAACACAUAACUGCACACAAACGUGCUAUUAACUUCCUAGAAAAUAACAAAAACACUAAAUAAAUAACUAAAUUGAACUUGGCUGUUUUUUAAUAAAUAAAAAAAAACAGAGUAAAACAGAGCAGAAAACAGAACAGAAAACAGAGUAAAAAAAAAGAACAGAAAACAGCAACUGAGACAUUAUAAUCCAACAGAUAAGAGGAGGACCUUAAAUGUAAUUUUUUCUAGCUGAUUUACAGAAAAUGAUCAUCGUAGACAAACAAACCACCAUGUCCCCAGUGUAUAGUUGUUCUUACUUCAUACUGCCUUUCUUCUCCUACGUUUCCAUGAAACCAAAAGUUUCAUGUGUUCACACUCACAUGUUCAAGUUCUGGUGAUUUAUACUAUCCAUUCUGUCAAUUUGCUGACUCAGAAUUUGCACAAACAGGACAGUCUCCACCUACUUUUGGUUUUGUACUGGGAAAAAAAACAAAAAGGAAGAAAAAACUGAACCAAGGAAUUGAUGAAAACUUCACUCAACAUCACCCCUUACUUUGCUUAUAGAUUAACACAUAGACAUACAUAUGCAAUGACAUCCCACCAAAUCUGAGUUUGUAAUCUUGUCUUCACCGUGUUGAAAGGAGUUGAGAAUAAACCUGCAGUAGAUCCUGCUAGUCCUCCACAAGCAAGCUGCAAAAGAGGGAAAUCGCUGUGGAGCAAAUUGGAAUUAUCCAUGGACUCAAAAAGGAAAUUGGGAGGCGAGUAGACAACCAACCGAUAGCAAUGUGUUCAGUCGAGCACUGAGCGGGAGCGAGGAAAGUGUUUACAUCUUUAGAUUCUCAUAUACGUAGAACUGCAAGUGGUGUAUGGCAAGAUUAAGUGUUCACUUGCCGAAGAAAAUGACGAUUACACGCCACCACAUGACAACAAAAUCCAUAAUCUUGUGCAUCCUCAUAUCCACCUUGACCAUUUCUACAGAGCACAGCUCCCCACCCAGCAUGUAAAGAAGGCAUACCACCUCUUAUGAUUAUUCCAACCAAUGCAUCCCCAUCAAAACAAAAAGUAAGAGUAAAUGGCAUGGCAAAUGAACUAAAACAAACAAAACGUGCUCAAAACAUGCUUGACAACCAAGGACGAAGUAGCAAGGGGAUUAUUUAAUGAGGCUGCUACGGAGAAACAUCUCAAGAAGAUGCAGGAAUCUGAUCAUAGGAAGACAUAUCCGAAAUCCAUCACAACCUCCAACCGACUAACUUUAAUAUAUUAAAUGAGGAGAUUAUGGUAACAGUAUUACACUAGAAUACCGGCAGUUAUGAUAGUGAGAACACACGUGCAUCUGCUGCUUUAUGCUCUCCCUAGGAGUGUAGACAAAAGAGGUAGCAAUUCUUGCACCACCACCUGCAACACAACACGUGAUGGAGUAUUACUCCUGCACAAAGAAGCGGAUGAUAUAUCUGGAAAACACACCGUUUAGUUGGGACCAUUUGAAACCUUGCUGAGGCUAGAAGGGGGCAUUCAAAACCUAGCCCACAUUUAACGUAGCAAAAAGAUUAACACCAGAAAAGUGGAGAAAGAGAGUUUCGAAAGGAAAAUGAGGAAAAAAACUACCUUGGGGAAAAGAGAAAGUAAAGUGCCUUUUACUGACUCAUAUGUGACAGUAUAAAUCGCAGAAAUUGGACCUGAAGAUGCAAUUUUGCUUGAGAUACCUCGAUAUAGCCCAGUAAGACUUGGCAAAUGAGACCAAUAUGGAACAAAUUUCAUCGGCAAUUUGGCAAUAUAAUACAUAACAGGCAAUCGUAGUUGUUAUGAGUGAAAGAGGUUCUAAAUGACACUGUCAAUAUCAUUUCGAAUCCAAUGAAGCAUACCUCUCUCAGAAACAAUCAAUUUUACAAUAUAGCAAUGAGAUUUCUGCUCUGCACGGUAAGACUGAAUGACAGUUUUAAUUGUAUCAACCAGGUGAAGACAAAGGCUGACAAAGACACCAAUAAAUGCCCCUGCAAAUGCAUGUUCUUCCUUGGCAACAGCAGCCUGAGGCUUAACAUGUCCUAAACAGUGUAUCUUCAUGGUAUGUUGUUCCUGGGCAGGACGAUGAUUGUCCUCUUCCUUUCCUUCAGGAAAGAAUUCAAAUGGUGUUAGUGCUCUCAUAACGAAGUUUGCAUUCACCUUUUCCAGAUGCUACAAACUUUAAAUGAUAAUCUGCAUGAAGGGUAGAAGAUGCAGCUUUUGAGACACAGCUGUCUGCCUCAAUAUUGGCAACUUUGAGGUAAUAAUCUGAAAGCAAAGAGGUGCUUUCCUUCUCGUGCAAGAUCAAUUUUGAGUUGUUAGCCACUGGCAGAUCCUUGGAAUAGAUUUUUUUGGGGGGGGGGGGGGGGGGGGGGGGGGGGGGGUUUGGUGGAGUUGUAAGAAUCAGCACUAUCUAUGAAGUUCUUGGGGCCUGUAUCUUCUGACAUUAGAUUCUGCAGAGGAGAUUAUUAUUUCUCUAGACUAGAAUUUACCAGCUUUUUCACCAUCAGAUACAGCAAUCUUAAAAGGAUGUUUGGCCUCUGCAGGUAUCAAUUCACUCAUCAGCCACAAAUAAGUUCCAGUCCAGAUGAGAUCCCCAAACAAGAAAUCCCUUUCCCAUCCUUAGGUCCAUUAAGCCAAUUGGUAAUAUCCCCACUAAAAUUCCAUACCAGUAAUUGAUACUGCCCAGUGCUCUCCCUGUUUUAUUUAAGCGCUGACGUUCUGUUAGUUAUCCGAAGAAUGUCUAGGUUCAGUUGCCACAUCUCUGUUAAGUUGAUGUCAGAAUGACUACAUUUAGGCAAAGUAGAUGUACUGCCAUUUUGUUGCCAUUCCACAUCAUGCAAAAUAUCCUCCUUCUCACCAGAGAUUUUGUAACUUAAGUUUGUUUUUUGUUGUAAAACUGCGAGAGAACGAUAUUUAAAGACCCCUGCAUGGCCAACUGCUGAGAUGAGUUCAGAAGUGCUCAGUAAUUCAGAUGACUAGGGAUCAGCCUUUUCCUGCUGAAAAGUUUCAGAAUGUGUGGGGACUCCCUCUUCAUGGACAAAAUCAGCAAACUCAAAGGAUGCCCACUCAACUUAAGUAUAUCUAAUGGCAGUGGAUAGCAUACAUAAUAAAUUGCUUUCUGAUGAAGGUAUCAAAUAAAAAACUCAGGAUGUUAGUGUUAAGUACAAAGGAACAAAGUGUGCUGCAGAAAAACGAAAACAGAGGACUUGGCAAUACAGCAAAAACAGAGGACUUGGCGAUACAGCAAAUGACUUGGAUCGCCAAGUCAUAGGGUUAAAUCAACGGCAAAGAUCUUAUAAAGAAGACCAGCUUGGAUCGACGAUCAAUGAACGAGAUGCUCAAAGAAUCAAUGACUCGGAUCGCUAAGUCAUAAGCGUAGUCAAAUAGGUUUUUCUGUUAAAGUAGUUACUGUAUUCGGUUUUCCCUUGUAACCGAGUUCUGUUACAUACCCUGAUAUAAAUACUCUGCUUUGCUUUACAUAAGGAGCUCUGAAAACAGAUAGAAAGAAUAUAGAGAAGGUGAGAGAAUAGAGAACAGGGAAUCAAGAUCAUCAACGAAUGCUGAAGAGAUCCCUGUAUUGAAGAGAGAGUUUCGAAGAAUGUUGAACAGCUCAAGUCCAAAGUGCUGAAGCAAGUCAAGUAAGAUUGAUCUUAGAAGAUAGAACAGAGAAAGUGUAUUAUUUUCUGUCUUUCAAUUGUACUGAGUUACAAUGAUAUGAUCACCAUGCUGAAAUACAAAUGAUCUUCAGAGUCGACCACUUGAUCUUGUUUGAGUUCUUCAUCUUUCUCAGUUAGAACUAUAAGAAGCUAAAGGUAUAAAGAGGUAUAUUUGGAUUGAUUUUUACCGUAACACAUAAAUUAUCAGUCAAAGCCUUCCGUUGUGGGGUUACAUCUUCCAACAGUCCCUCCAAUCGAAAAGAACCAGAGCAAGCAGCUUAUGAUAGACUCGUGGAGUUUUCAGGAAAAUAAGAAUCACUCCUUUACAAUAAUACAUAAUUGACAAAUGAACAGGCGAUUACAACAAGAUGCUGGCUGCCCCCUAAGCCAUCAUAAGAAACUACCCACAUGUCAAAAAGUAGUUCAAAACACAAACAACUCAUGAGCUAUAAGUUCAUUAAUUCCAACUAGUUGACCCAGUGAAUCCCUGAUUUUGCUCAGCAUAGUGGGGUCAUAUUAUGCCAUUCCAGAUUACUCCAUAGUCCACAAUCUACACCAAAGCUCUAUUUUCUCAUCAAAGAAGAAGCUACUGAGUCACAGGCACUUUUACAGUACGCGGGGUGUCCCGUACACAUUACCACGUGCCCUUAUUAAGUACAAGAACCUCGUAACACAAUCAUAAAAUUGUUUUACACAUAGUUGUAAACAAAUCUAUGUACCUUAGAAAUCCCACUGAGUCCCCUCCAACUUCGAAUUCUGCAUUGGCAGAGUGGUCAAAGAAGCACGAUUCAUUUAGAAAAGUUAUGUUGGGUGAAUGUGUUGAGUCUCAAAUCGACGACAGAAUGUGCGGACUGAAUGCAAAGUCAUGGGCUUGAGAAAACCAGAAUCUACGGAUUCGGCUCCCGCUCGGAGAGAAGCUCCAAUCCAGUGCGCCUCCCACGGCAGUCUCGUCAAUGGGAACCCUUGCCUAGCCAUGCCAUUUGAUUUGCCGGUCACUGGAAGUCCCUCAACUUGAAAUCAAUGAAAUUCACCAAGAGUGUGGUGAUUGAAGAAUCGGAGAUCAGAGAGCACAGCUACGCUCGUGAAGAAAGGAGGGAAGGGCCAUUAAAAAAAUUCUACUUCAGUCGCAUAGGGGAGUCCUAGCGGUGACCAAUCGACUCCGAUUUUCAUUGGUGAAAGUUCAUCAGUUGUUUAGGGCCUUGCCGUCGGCCGAGAACCGAGAGUUCCUUGAUCGAGCACCACCGAGCCGUACCAUCUGUCGCAUUCUAUUCGGAAUAUUAUCUGCGCAAUAUUUCAAAUUAGGUUCCUUCGCGUGCUCAACCCCACAAAAGUCAACUUUGCUGGACCUUGCUUAGUCUUGUGGAGUCCAGAUAAUCCCUCCAGCAUUGGUGGCGUUCUAGUUUCAGUGGUCCCCCUCGCUGAGACGUUAUGCUACCAAGAGACUUGCCUAAGUAAUCGUACGGAGAGUCCCAUACGUCACCAUUCGUUGCCGGCCCAUUGAGGAGGAUCCGGUCCAAUUGUGCUUGGUCCAAAUUUGGAAUAAUAUCCUCCAAUUAGGGAAGAUGCACAUUUCUAAUAUAUUUGCAUAUUUUACUAUUUAAUAUAUGUUUAUCAGUAUCUAAUGUGCAUAGGAUAGAUAUAUCUCCAAAUUAGAAUUUAUUGCCUAAUCCACAACUGUAAUUUUUUAUUUCAUCUAUAAGGCUUUAGAUGGAAUAAUUAAUCACAUGAAUGAUUUGAUGCUUAUCUUUUAAUUUCUUUAUUUAUCCCAAAAAUACAAAAAAGAUUGCAUUUGCAUAUCAUGUAGGUUAUAAUUAAUUUCCUAGAUAGAAUUGUGAUAGAAUAGUUAGAUACAUUUCUAAUUAUAUUACAAUGCAUGUUUAGAUGACAUCUAGGUUAGAUGGUAUUUUGGAAUUAAAUUGCAUAUUGAUAUAAAUGUCUAGGUUAAAUAGGAUUCAAAUUAGUCUAUUUCCUAACCUAAAAUAGAUAAUAUCUCACUUUAGUUAGAUUUUUAUUAUUAGUAAUUUUUAAUUACGAAUUUUUAUUAAAAAAAUACAAAAAUAUAUGCACAUGGCAUAUAGAAUUAGGUUCAUGAAAUGCAUGUCAUUUAAUGAUUGUUGCUAGGUCCAUUUAAUUAGAAAUUGUCCAUCGUUAGAAUUAGGUCAGUUGGUUAAAUUGCAUUGCACAUAGAUUAUAUUUCAUUAAAUAAGAGAAAAUUGCAUGUUAAUUAGAAAUCAUAUCUAAGAUUGUUGAUGUGAAUUCUGAUUUAAUAUCGCAGAUGCUUCCGUUGUUAUGAAUCACAGGCACUUUUACAGUACGUAGGGUGUCCCGUACACACUACCACGUGCACUUAUUAAGUACAAGAACCUCAUAACACAAUCAUAAAAUUGUUUUACGAUGGUUACAUAGUUAGUUCCAAACAAAUCUAUGAACCUUAGAAAUCCCAUUGAGUCACCUACAACUUCGAAUUCUGCAUCGGCAGAGUGGUCAAAGAAGCACAAUUCAUUUAGAAAAGUUAUAGUGGGUGAAUGGGUGAAUGCGUUGAGUCUCAAAUUAACGACAGAAUGUGCGAACUGAAUGCAAAAUUAGGGGCUUGAGAAAACCAGUUUCCUCUUCUUACCCGCUAUUUUUCGGCAAGCGAAGAGAAAUCUUGAAAACAAAUACAUCAUCAUUCAGAAACCCAGAAGGGAUAAAGCCGAAUGAAAUCCAUAGGAAAUAAAUGGUGACCAAAGCAAUGCAAGAGAACCGGGAGAAUCGGGAGAACCCGGACGAGCUCGACUCUGUACGAGCCGAAACCAGCGCCUCCGCAGCUCGCCGAUUCAUUUCCCUUUUUCCCCGAGAAAAUUCAGAAAGCUGGGGGACUGGUCCGGGAAAAUCAGGGUUUAAGGAAAGUGGAUUUAUGUAGAAAGCUCGGAUUAUGCUCCGGCGACGGCGGCGAAUUUGGAAGAUGCUACGGCAUGCUGGGGGAUGGGAAGACUCGUGCGUUGGCUCCUGAUCCGACGCGCCCCGGCGGCAGUUUCAUCGAGCAUUUGGCGCGACGGAUGGAGAAGAGAUCGGAGGAUUGGAAUGUAGGAAUAGGGGAAUGGUGCGAUCGUACUAUCUACAUUCAAUUCAAAUUCAAACGUUGCAAGCUCUGUCAGCGGCGAGAGUCUCGCCGAGGACGCGGCCGGAUAAAACGCGAGUCAUGCGCGUUUCUUCGGACCAAGUUAUGAGAAGCAACCUAUUUCCGAUUUGUUUGUCUUGUGCACGUGGAUGUCGAGGGAUCCAUCUCUGACAAAGAUCCAGAUACGAACGUUGUUUCACCUGUGGAAGUCGAUACAUGAAAUGUCAUCUGGCAAAGAUAUGGUUUUAUUAGAUUGGAGAAUUUAGCAGAGGGCAGAGGCCCAAAGAAGCUUAAUCGAACGACCUGUCCCCACCUGGCCGGCCCACCUAUUUUUCAACAUAAGGGCAAGGCCUUGUCUCCUUCUCUCUAAACUCUAUACUCUAAGAUUACAUCCAGAUUUCUAAUUAUGAUAGAAUUAGAUAGGACAUGAUAUAAAAUCCAAAAGAUUUUGAUAAUCCUAUCCAAUAUUUGGUGAUUGUAGUAAUAAAGUCGAAUAUAUUCACAUCAUAUAAUAUACAUUGUUUGGUAUAAAAGAUAUAUUAGUAGAAAAUAAUAAAAAUCUCUCGCGACACUGCUACCUGCUUCAGUUUAUUUGCUUAUUUAUUUUGUUUUCCUCUCUUUUAUUAAUUAAUUUUUUUAUUAUUUUCUUCCCCUCCCAUCAUUCUCCAAUAAAAUUUUAUUAAAUAAUAAACUUAAUAUACCUAAAAUAUUAACAUACCAAAAAAAUGUAAUAAAUAUAUAUUUAUACUUAUAUAUUUAAAUUAUUUUAUAAAUAUAAAUAAAUUCAAAUAUAUAAAUAAAAAUAAGAUUAAAUUAAAAUCACUAAAUUAUUAUUUUUUGUUAGUUUGAAUUUCUCAUAUUAGAAUUCAAAUAUUAUUUAUAGUGAGACAUAAUUUUAAUAUUAUUAAUUUAAAAGGUUAGUUAUUCGAGAAAAAUAACUUUGCUAUUAUGGAUUCUAGAAAUCCUAUUCAUCUUUAUCCCACCUCCCUCAUAAGAUAAUUUUAUUCGAUCUAUAUCUCCCUUUAUAUUCGAUUUUAUUCUAUCUUGAAUAGGUACCAAACACAGAAUAGGAUAAAUUAUAUUAUAUCUAGAAUUAUAUCAUGACUAUCAAACACAGCCUAAGUUCUCACAUUUUCUCUACUUUUAUUUGGACUUAAGCAUCGAAGAGUCCACAUAGACCAAAAUACAAGGAUUUUCUUUCUUCGAAGGUGUGCAUGUCCAAGGUGCUCCAAGUCCAUUGCAAAGAUGUUAAGCCUACAGCACGUCUGAUACAAGUAUCGAUACCAUCUAAACCACUAUAAAUAAAUAAAUAAAUAAGAGUGAUAAGUAAACAAGAAAUUCUCUAGAACUCUGAAAACCUUGUGUUGAGAAUUCACAAUAAGGAAUUGCCAGUUUAUCUCUUUUUCUCGGAGAGGUUCACAGGGUUCAGUUUUUUCAAAUUGAUUGAUUGUUCAAUGCGUGAUGAGAGUGAAGUAGAGUCGAAAGCCCAUGCCAUUUUUCAAAGAUGAUGUCUUGCUUUAUUUAGUAUCUUGUGAAUCUUGUUUCUUCGUGCCAUUUAUUAGAUGGCUGUAGGAAGUUGCAGAAUUGUAUCUUGCAAGAGCUGCUACAAGAAUCUCUGUUUCAUUUUCUUCAAAUCACUGCUUGGCCGGUACCCCACUACUGUGCAACUUUGCAAUACUAAAGAACAUCUUUUUACACUAUAUAUGGAUAUCGUAACCAGCAACUUCAAAAACAAAAGCCAACAUGAAGAGACACAUACGCAAACGUAACUUUUUGCUUGAAGUUGACAUGCAUAUAACGCUAGAAGAGGCAUCAAUACUUGCACUCAGAGCGAGGCAUUUGCCCAAAACCGAAAGCCUCUGGACCAGACUGUCGGAUAUAGGAGGGGAGGUUGGAAAGAUCUGCCCUCAAGUUCAGAACAGCCAUUGCAGCUUCAAUUGAGGGCCGGCACCUAACAUCGGGAUGAGCACACCAAAGCCCCACGAUCAUUGUAACAUCCCGGGUCCCACUUGUGUGAUAUUGUCUGUUUUGGACACUGAGUCCUCACGGUUUUAAAACGCGUCACACAAUUAAAGGAACCCAAGCCUUAUAAAGGCUCCCAGGAACCCCUCCCUAAGCGAUGUGGGACAAGAGGGAGAGGAAUCCCUUCCCCUUCCCUUGCGCGCGUCCGAGGACCGGAGGCGCGGACGCACCGCCAUCCCUCCUCCCCGCGCACCACCGCUCGGGUCGUGUCCGGUCCGCGGACGUACCGCCAUCCCUCCUCCCCGCGCACCACCGCUCGGGUCGUGUCCGGUCGUCACACUCUCCCCCCUUGGGAGCGGGUCGUCACACUCUCCCCCCCUUGGGAGCACAGCGUCCUCGCUGUGGCCCCACACGCUGUCGGGAGUCGGCUCUGAUACCAUUUGUAACAUCCCGGGUCCCACUUGUGUGAUAUUGUCCGCUUUGGACACUGAGUCCUCACGGUUUUAAAACGCGUCACACAAUUAAAGGAACCCAAGCCUUAUAAAGGCUCCCAAGAACCCGUCCCUAAGCGAUGUGGGACAAGAGGGAGAGGAAUCCCUUCCCCUUCCCUUGCACGCGUCCGAGGACCGGAGGCGCGGACGCACCGCCAUCCCUCCUCCCCACGCACCGCCGCUCGGGUCGUCACACUCUCCCCCCCUUGGGAGCGGGUCGUCACAAUCAUCAAGGCCUUCGCCUGUUUCUUGUUGAAAUUUUUACCGAGCUUCAAGUCCACGGGCAACUUCCCCCGCCCAUAUUGCUCUCGAACCCACACCACAAUGUGGCAUUGGUCUUCAAUGACUCUUCUCCCACAAACAAUUUCCAAAAGGACGACUCCGAAGCUAUAGAUAUCAGAUUCCUUACUUGCCUCACCCGUCUGAUGAUAUUCCGGAGCCACAUAACCCGGUGUUCCCACCACGUCAGUUGCUUUUAGCCCACCAGCAUGGUCAACUAGCCUGGCCAAGCCAAAAUCUCCCAGUUUGGCCUCUAACCUUUCAUCGAGCAUGAUAUUGCUGGAUUUGAUAUCCCUGUGGAUCACGCAUUGAUUACAUUGUUUGUGUAGGUAGUACACCGCCGAGGCUAAUCCUAGAGUGAUGCUGUACCUUCUUUCCCAUGUCAACGAGGGUCUACCUUUAAACAGAUGAUCCUCCAAGCUGCCUCCUCUCAUAAAUUCGUAAACUAGGAUGAAUUCGUUCGCCUUGUGACAAUAACCUAUAAGUUGCACCAAGUUUCUAUGCCUAAGUUGACUUAGUGACUUCACCUCAGAUACAUACUCCUUUAUCCCUUGGCGUGAGCCAGAUUUUAUUUUCUUUACAGCGACCACGGUGCGAGCGCCUCCCAUGUGCCCUUUGUACACGAUCCCGGAACCCCCUUCUCCCAGAAUCCUGUCACGUGCAAAAGAAUUGGUCGCGAUCAUCAACUCUUUAAAGGAAAACUCCUUGGUUCCACUCAACUUUUCAAACUCUUCUGUUAAUUUCGCGCUAAGGCUGCCUUCUUCUCCACCUCUCUCUGUCUUAUACUUUACCCAAGCAACGAUGAUCGCCACCAAUACAAUGGCACCGCCCAGUAGCGACUUCAACCAAGAUUCAGUAUCCUUCUCCACCCGGAGCUGUAAACUGGAGCUAAAUUGCCGUUUCUCGCCAAAGCGAUGCUCAAGUACAGUAUCAACCAAACCUAGGUGGAAAUACCCACUUGUGUUGAAUUGCUGUAUCUGGCCAAAGCGAUGCUCAAGUGCAAAUUCAAGGGAGCCUGCUGGGAGACAAACACCCACCGCGUCUGGCGAAUACUCACUUGAGCUGAAUUGCUGUAUCUGGCCAAAGCGAUGCUCAAGUGCAAAUUCAAGGGGACCUGCUAGGAGACAAACACCCACCGCGUCUGGCAAAUACUCACUUGAGCUUAAUUGCUGUAUCUGGCCAAAGCGAUGCUCAAGUGCAGAUUCAGGGGGAGCUGCUAGGAGACAAACACCCACCGCGUCUGGCAAAUACUCACUUGAGCUUGACUGCUGUAUCUGGCCAAGGCGAUGCUCGAGUGCAGAUUCAGGGGGAGCUGCUAGGAGACAAACACCCACCGCGUCUGGCAAAUACUCACUUGAGCCGCAUGCGCAGGAGUGACGAUGGACUUUGUCCCUAGUAUUCCCACCAGCAUCCUUCCAGACCACGCUCAAAUAUUUCGCCCUUGGGUUGUACAUUAUACUAGCAUUUGACCCAUCAUUCAUGACUUUGCUGAUCGUCCCUUGCACAAUGCCCAUGGACCUGAGGCCACGUGGAACGUCCGCAUCCAACGCAUUCUUGAAAUGGUCAACGUUGACCGCAGCACAAUCGCUGUUGGGACGAGCUAGACAACCCUGAGAAGCUAGAAAGAAGGCAACAACGUCGUUGAUGAAAGUGUUUACCUGUUGACGGUUGGCCUUUACCUGUUGAAGGUUGGUACGCUUGCCAGGGAAACGCUGCACAGGCACGGAGAAGGCCUUGUCCCCAAAAUGCUCUUCCCCGAAAUACACGGCUAUAACACCAUGAGGAUCAACAGAUAAGGCGUGUGCGUCCCCAAAAGGGUUUCCCCGUUGAGAGUCGGUGCUGGCCGUAUACUGGGUAGCACAAUCCACCACAUUCCCCGUAGCCUUGUCCCAAAAAUGCACUUUGCCGGAAUACGUAGCUUGGCCACUGAUGCCGUUGAGUGUUCCGUUCGGCUGGCUUGGGCUGAGGUAAGAAGGCCGCUCAGAAGCAUUCCCCUGAAUGACUAAGGGCCUGGGGAUCGCAAAAUCUGAAGAGGGCUUGAGCAGAGAGAUCAUCAAGACUAGUAGAACCAACGUGCGUGUGAGUGGUUGAGGAUGAUCUUUAUGUCUUCCAAAGCUUUCCAUGUUGGAUGUUCUAAGUUUCUAGAAGAUCUGGAUACCGCUUGCAAACUCAAAGCGCUGUGCGAAGCCGGGCGGGCAGGUUAAAAUCUUCAUUCUCAGCGCUCAGCUCAGAAAGAAGCGGUGGAAGUGAUAAUCGCUGCCGUGCGCCAGAAUCAAAUAACGAAUAGAAAACUGCACUCACCGCCGUUUCAGUCCUUCGUCGUCAAGAUCGGGCUCGGCCAGCGAACUUGGGCCUCAGAUUCUAGACAUAAGGUCGAACGAGCACAGGAGUUGUGAUGCUCAGCUCGACCUUGAAGACCAGGGUCGGCUCAGGCAACGAACGAGGUGGAGGCGGAGGUAGCGGCGUGGUCCGUCGACGCGGCGGAGGGCCUCGACCUCCUAGUCGACGUGGGCGUGAACGCAGAUCGUUGAAGUGGAGAGAAAGCGCGAGAGUCCCCUUUUUUCUUCUUGGGGAUUCAAGACCCAAGUUCGCUGGCUAAGCUCGGUCUCGAAGACGGAGGACUGAAACAGCGGCGAGGGGUGGACUGAGAUGGCGGUGGGGUGGUGGCGAUGAAAGGGUGUUGUCCCCGUCAGAGUGAGGAGGAAGAAGAAGCAAAAACAAGGAGUCCUACCCAAUAUUUUCUCAGCCGGUGAGGUUCGGUGAAUGCGAGCGCGAAUCAAAACGCGUCAAAAAGUCUUUCCAUGCCUUUUUUUUUUGGUCGACCUUUCCAUGCUUUUCUUAUCGGUGUUUGGGGUGUUUGGGCUGUGGAUUAGAAAUUAAUUAGAGAAAAGUCUAAGAAGAGGGCGCCAUCCCGUCACUUUAAAAGUUACCGGGUAACGCUGACCUCGCAUCUCAACUGUAGGAUAUUGGCAACAGGAACUCAACACUUCGAAGAUGUAAUUGCCAAAAAUGACCUUCAUGGGGAAGCUAGACCCAUUAAAGAAAAAAUAAACAUAAUCUACAUUCGUUACAUCACUAGGGCUCCAAUUGUUUUGGAGAAUGAAAUAUUAUAAAAAUUAUCGCUAUGCUACUAGAGAUAAUUUGUAAAAAAAUGCUUUCGUUACCCACAACAAUUUGUAUUUAAACAAAAAAAAAAAGUGCUUUCAUUACCCUUAGCAAUUUGUAUUUAUACAUUUUCUAGACGGUUCGAAUAUAUGUCAUUUAUCAGAUUUUCCUUCCUAAAAAAUACUUUUUAAUCAAAAUGCACGAUCGAUAAGUUUUGUCAAUUAUCGAAACAACCGAGGGACUAUUUUCUCCGACGGCUCGAAUCUAACCAACAUGUGGAAUGUCCACAUCCCAGAUAUUCUUGAAAGGAUCAGCCUCCCCAGCGUCACAAUAGCUCUUGGGAAGAGCAAGAUGGCCCUAAAGAGCACAAAGAAGGUGAAUGUGUUGCCGAAAGGGCUUCUUUGUUGAGAGUCGGUGCUAAACAUAUACUGGGCAGCGAAAUCCACCCCAUUCCGUGUGGCCUCGUCCCAAAGAUGCAAUUGCCCGGAAUACCUAGCUCGGCCACCGACGUCGUUUAGUCUCCGGUUCCACUGGCUUGGGCUGAAACGUAGGUAAGUAGACAGCUCGGAGGUAUUCCCCUGGACGUCUAAGAGCUCGAGGCUUUCAGAGCCAAAUGAGACAUUGAAAGAUGGAUUGUGAAAGUGUCUAGCUGAAGCGGAUAAGGUUUGAGUAGAGCCGUUAAACAGGUGGAUCGGGUCUGGGUCGGGUCAUUAAUAGUCCGACCCAAAUUGACCCAUUAACCCAUUUAUAACCCAUUUAUGUUUAAUGUAAAUUUUUCGAUCCAAACCCGACUCGACCCAUACCCAACCCAUACCCGACCCGACCCAACUCAUAUUAAUAAAAUAUUUUCAUAUUUAACAAAUUUAGAAAAACUUAUUCCUAUGUUUUUUUUUUAAGAUUAUACUAUUAAAAUACUUCCAAGCUUUUAUAUAUAUUAUUUUUUUUUAAAAUUGUAUUGCUAAAAUAGUUUUAUACAAUAUAAAUUUAAUGGACAAUUUUUAUAAAUUUUAAAAUAAUUAUUUAAAAAAUCGAAAUGUAAUUAUUUUUUAAAAUUAAAUUUUUAAUUAUUUUUAUUUUAUUUUUAAAAUAUAUUUUCUUUUUCUUUUUCUCUUUUCUUUUUUCUUUUUCUCUUUUUUCUUCUCCUUCUUCUUCUUCUUUGGCCGACUGCCGGCCACGACAACAGCUGGCAACCGGCCACAGGCGAGCCUCGAGCUCAUCGGCGUCGGCGAGCUCGAGGCUCGCCUGGCCGGUCGCUGUGCCGGUGGCCGAAAGGAGGAAGGAGAAAGAAAAAAAAAAAGAUUAAAAAAGAAGAAAAAGAAAAGAGAAAAUAAAAAAAAAUUAUAAUUUCGAUUUUUAUAAAGUUAAAGAGAGAAGGGAGGAAUUAUAAUGUUUUUGUUAAAGAUGAGUUUUCAACCCAACCCAUUUAAAAACCCACUUAAGACCCAUCUAUCUUAAACCUUUAAUUGUGAAACCCAUUUAACUAUCUUUUGUUUUAAACAAGUGACCCAUUUAUGACCCAUUUAAGAUUUAAAUGGGUCAUAAAUGGGUUUAUUACCCAUUUUAACACCUCUAGGUUUGAGCGAGGGAUUUUAAAGACUAGUACUAACAUCUUUGUUGGUCGCUAUGCAUUAUGGCGGUUGUCAUUCUCACCAUUCGGCUUUGAUAAAACUGAAAAAGUGGUGCGUGCACCAAAAUCCGGUGGUUAAAGUGACAAUCGCCAGGGUGUGCCAGACUCAAUAGCGAACAGAAAAUUGUACUCACUUGGCCUAGUUGGAUCAGAAAUUAUCACUGUGAACACAUAUUAAAUGAGUCAAGUCUCCCUAUUAAUCUUAUCUAUCGAUGAUCAGAUGAUUGGGCAAUGGAUCAUAAAAUAAUUAAGGGCAUCAUCACACGAAAAAGUAGACAAGUGAUAUUGUAAUCAGUCAAGUCUUCCUACUCAUUCGAACAAAAAAAAAAGUGUCUUCCUACUCCUAUCCAUCGAUGAUCGGACGAUUGGGCGGUGGACUAUAUAGAAAACAAUUAGGGCAUCAUCACCCGAAAAUGUAGAUCAGUACGCAAGUCUUCCUAUUGGAUUAGUUGUCGAUGUGAAAACUACUUAAACAUAGAAGGAUUGAGUUAUGCUAUCUUGUACAUGGAUCAGUUCAAAGGCAAUGUCUAUGUCUUGUUGGCAGAACCGUGGGAUCGCAGGAUUCUGUCGGGGUGCCAAACAAAUGGAAUUUUUUUUUCUGGUACUUGUAGAUUUCACUAAAGUGUUUAUAAGUAUUGACAAGCGUCAAAUAAUAUUGAUUAAGAAAAUGACAAGUGAGUUCAUUUUCCAAGUAACUCGUUGAUAAUUUUUUAACAUUUUUAUGAAACGCCAACUUCUUUAUAUAAUUUAUUAUCAAUUUUUUUAAGACUUUACCAUAGAGUCAUUCUACAUAUGCAAAACCUUGGUAACAUUUAAAAGAAUAAUUUAGUUUAAUUCAAUAUCUUCAAAUAUAUACAAAUCUAUACAUAUGGGACUACUUGAAGUUCACGUGGCAAUAACUUAUGAAGAAUAAUUCUCGAGGGCAAGGCAAAAAUUUUAUGACAAUUAGUCGCAAAAGAUUUAAAAUGACAUCAUUUGAUUUCAUAUAUUGCAGUUUAUGUAAUUAUAUGGGGAUCUUGUACACCAUGCCUCUGAAAAUUCUAUCAAUGACAUAAAAUGACACAUUAUUUACAAAUGCAUAUCAUCAUAAUUACAUGUAAAUAAUUGUUAAAUUGCGUUAACACGUAGGGCUAUUAGCCAUAAUCAUUAGGGUUUUUUUAAUUUAAUUGUGAAUAACAUCCUUCAGAAGCUAUAUGGUGGUUCCAAAAAGCCACAACUUCCCUAGGAAUGGAAGAGCAAGUUAUCCAGUUCCUAAGUAAAAGUGCCAUAACGUGAUGGGACCAUCUUGUUCAGAUUUUUCUACGAAUAAUUUUAAUAUAGGGGUUGUCUGAUUUAGUUGAACGAAUUUUACGUAAGCACUUACGCAUUCACUAGUCCUAUCGCAUUCUCCUAGUAAAUGAAAGCGACCCCAUCAAAACCAAAUAUUUGAGAGCGACUCAAAUUAAUAUCAUGACGUGUAAACAUUCAGACCAAAGAUAGAGUUCUUUCACAUUUAAAAAUGGUCAGGCACUGAAAUGCUUUUAUCUAAUGUAAUCAGGGCUUUAUCAUACCCCAACACUUUUGGGCCAAAAUAAACAAGAAUAAGAAAAAUAACAUGACCUCUCAAUUUCCACGAUUUACUCAUACGUACUCCAAAUCUCAAGCUAAACAGGCAGUCCACAUCAUAGCAUCCAAACUACUAAGGUCACGCCUCCAUCUAUAUAUAGAAUUUUAAACGGACUUGCGGUAAUCUGCAUCUAUGGAUCACUUAUUAAGACUAUAUCAAUGAUAUCAUGGAAAAGAUAAGGUUUAAUCACGUACAGAAAUUAGAAGAGGCCUCAAAAUGAAAAGGUGCCCUGGGCCUCUCGGAUCCAAUUAAUACACAGGUGAGAGAAUAAAAGUUCAAAGCUGCGGUUUGUUUUUCUUUCAGUCAUUGUGUAAGUCAACGAAUAGUGUGCAUAGUUGCGAGACUUUGGAAUUUCCGCACAAUUGACAAGAGGACCUUUGAUUAAUUUAUCAAUUUAAUCCUAAACUUUUAAAUAAUUUACCAAUUUAAUUAUAAAUCUUUUGACAUUUUGUCAAUGUAGUCAUUCUGGCUAAUCUUACUCGAAAAUUACAGUCAUAGUAACCUAGCUAGUGACAAUCGUCCACAUGAUUGACACUGAUUUGAACGGUUGUUGAAUUUUGUCCUUUAUUUUUCCUUUCUUUUUGUUCUUUUCUCCUUAUUUCCUCACAAAAUCUGGCAAGGGCAGCUCUCGCUAGCCACAUUAGAGGCCAGCAACCAGUAGAGGGAAAAAAGAAAAGAAGAAGAAAAUUAACAUAAGCCUCAUAUUGAGCCAAUUUAAAAGGUUGAGAUACUUGAUUGAGUAGAAAAUAAUAAAUAGACAACCGACAUUAGAAUGGGGAAAAAUUAUUCCUCACCAUCGGGAUUAGUUUUGACCCAUGCAGUAGCUCAUUUUGGCAAUUGCUUAUUUUGCUGACGGACUUCAUUUCAUUCGUAAGAGUAAAAUUCCGAUAGUAACUCAAGAUUUCUUUUGAAAUGACGCCGUUUGGCACGGUCAAAUCUAAGUAAAUAUUCUAAGUACUAUACAACAUUACAGUCGAUAGUAAAUGAGAUGUUGGAAGUUUGUUUGUUUACAAACAAAGUGUAUGUUUCCUUGUCGCACAUAGAAAAAGUAAAAGAAAGUGGGCCAAUUAAUAAAUGUGAGGUUUCUUUAGUGUACCUAAAGAAAUAAUUGAGUGUGGGCUAGACCUCAUCAUACUCUCGUUCAGUUUGCAAUCUUUCGCAAAGGGUUGCAUUUAUUCGUUUUUUCAACUUCUUUCUAAUGGACGCCUUUGUUCAUCUGCACAAUCUUUUGAAAGGAUGCAUUUGUUCAUUUUGCAACAUUUCACGAAGAGUUGCCACUAUUUAUACAUAUGUUCACUUUUCAACCUUUCAUGAAGAGUUGCCACUGUUUAUGUAUACAUGUCAGUUUUCAGAAGAACAAUGUGUGUGAUCAUUUUAUCUUUUCAAGCCUUCUUUCUGAAAGAAAAAAAAAAGCUACAGCCAUCUUUUCAAUUGUUUCCUAGAGAGAUCCUGAAAAAAAAUACUAGAAUUGAUAUUUAGUAUUCUCAUUUUGAGACUUUGUUGUAUCCUAGAGAAAAUUUGUCAGUGACUAUUCGUAACGUUGUGGGGCAGAUAAAUCUUUAAAAAAAAAAAUGAUAUCACACCUCCCGACUUCAUUUUUAUCCAAUUCAAAGCCACAUUUUCCCAACAUGAGAAAGGCGAGAGUACAACAGCUUUUUGAGAAUAACCUUUAUUUCAGUGAUAUACACAUAUAUCCCCCUUCAAAAGACAUCAUUUUCGAAUAAAAUAAAAGAUAGACAUCAUCGAGGCAUUUGCUUAAAGUCAAACACAUCCAGACGAGACCUUUCGAUCAAUAGAAAUAUGCUGGCAUCUUCCGCGGGAGCUUGGGAGGCUCUGCCUUCAAGUUUAAAACGUCCAUUGCCGUUUCAAUCGAAGGCCGAGACCUAGCAACGGGAUGGGCACACCACAGCCCCGCGAUCAUCAAAGCUUUCGCCUGUUUCUCGUCGAAAUUUCUGCCAAGCCUUGUGUCCACGGCAUCGAGCAACUUCGUGGGCCCAUAUUGCUCCCAAACCCACACUACAAGGUUUUCUGGGUCUCGUUUUAGGUCGACGGCUCUUCUCCCACGUACUAUUUCCAAAAGGACAACUCCAAAACUGUAGAUGUCGGAUUCUUUGCUUGCCUUCCUCGUUUGAUGGUAUUCAGGAUCCCAGUAACCCGGUGUUCCUACCACUCGGGUUGUCCUUUGCUCUCUGUUGUGGUGGCCGAGCUUAGCCAAGCCGAAAUCUCCCAAUUUGACUAUGAACGCUUCAUUGAGCAUAACGUUGCUGGAUUUGAUAUCUCUAUGAAUCACACAAUGAGGCCUUUUUUUGUGCAGGUAGCACAGUGCUGAGGCUAAUCCCAAAGCGAUGUUGUACCUCCUUUCCCAUGUCAACAAGGAGCUGCGUUUAAACAGAUGAUCGUACAAG
rnacentral:lncRNA from 1 species